CCUGCGGAGAGGCAAGAACGGGGCGGAGCUGGGCCUCGGGCCGGGAAAGCGCUGCUCCGUGAGGGGUUUGCCCACAGGCGCUCCCCUGGCCCAGCCGAGGCGCAGGCUGGAAAGUCCUGCUGCAAAUGCUAAACGAAAUGAAGUAAAGCUAGAAGGAGCUUCACUGCGUCCAGCUGCCUUCCUAAACCAGAAGCAACGUUUUGGAGUUAUGAUUUGAGAGGGCCCUUGACACGUAGAAGAGAUGGAACCCACAGUGGGUCAGUACAGAAGAAACAUUGACAUGACUCAAGGAAUGUUCACACAAUCACAAACUUGGACAAGGGCCAUGGACCCACUCCAUCCUGGUUUUAGUGCCUGUGCACUUAGGUUGAAGGACACUUGUACUGCAGAAGCUGUGAAGAACAGUGAAGAUAUCAGCAAUACCUGCCAGCUUUUAAUCUUGUCCCAGAGAUGUCGAAAUUCAUCAAAGUUUAUCUUCCCUGAGCCAUCUGUCUGUGGUGCAAACAUUCAGAGGAAAGUUUAGGUUGGUUCCCACUUUGCCAUCUGCAUGCUGUGGCAGUCAUGCAGCAGAGCAGCACUCUCCCUGUACGCAGAUGCUCCAGCCAUGCCCCCAGAUGCCAGAAGCCUGGAUGUGAGAUCUGGCUGUUAGGCUUUCUGGGAUAUGUAGAUCAGAACAAAUAAAUACAAACCUUGUAUGUUUUGAAGGCAAAUUGAUCUGCAUACCAUUUUCGUACUUCAGGAUUGGUGAAAUCCAGGGUAUAGGAGGGAUCAACCUUAAUAUGAGGAUCUAUGAUGACCACAAGCUGCCAGGCUAAGUACCUGCAAGCCAAACUUUGCAGCACAGUGGACUUCAGAAUCUGAAGGGUCUGAUUCCUACUGUUACCCUACUGAAUCCAGAGCAACUUUGGGCAAGCAACCAGAGAUCCUGCAGACUGACAAGCAGUGGAUUCAAGAACAGAAUCUGACCAUAUGGACUUUAUUUCUCUGACAUGGAAAACAGAAAAACAUGGUGCUAGUGUAAGACAUGAGAAAUAGCAUGAACAACUAGGGCAACUGCUUCCUGCCCUCUGUGUCUUGACUGUGAACUGAGGAAGUUUCUGUCACCAACAGAAAUUGCCUUCAGACUUCCCUCUUCCUACUGCAGCUGCUGGGUAGUGCUGGUUGCUAUAAAAGUCUGCUUGAUAAUGGUAAUGGACAAAGCUAACCAACUAAUUAAUAUAGAAUACAAUGAGAUGAACAGUAGAUCAGCAUAUAUUUAGGUAAUUUAUAAUUUAAAUUGUAUUUGAGCUACUACUCUCGUGUCUAUAACCUUCAUCUUUACCACUUAAAAUUGCUCCGUAUUUCCUUUUUUAGUCCACACUUCAAAAAACUUCCUUUGUGACAAUUAUUAAUGCUUAAAUACCAUUACAGGUGAAGUCAAUGUUAUGUACCAAUACUAAAAAAAAAAAAAAAAAAAAGAGAAAAGAAAAAGGAAAUGUAUUAUGUACAAUAUAUACAUAUACAUAUAUACAUAUAUAUUCAGACAAUGUGGAUAGUGUUAAUGCUGUGUCAGAAAUGGCAUACAGUGAGUUGAUGAAAUGGAUCACAUUUAAUGUGCUCCCUCUUCAGCAGAGAUCCAAUGAAUAUUUGCAGAGUUUUUGUCAAAUUGUUACCCAUCACUGAUUAUUAAUUAAAACAAAGUUAAGGCAACUGAAAAGCAGGAGUGAGUGGGACAUUGAUAAACAUU